UUUGUAUAAGUAUAUUUAAGUAUGUGUAUAUGUGUAUAUCCACAUAUAUGUUAAUAUAAACACACACAUACACACACAUGUAAGUGUACAUACA
rnacentral:miRNA from 1 species